AUGCCUUUGGGUUUUUAUUUCUGAGCUACGUUUGUCAUAAUGUACAUUUAUUACUAUUACUACAUCAAUUCGACGUCCACGGUAUUACACAGACACUUGCGUUAAUAGUGUGUUUAACUGAAAAGAGUAGUCCGUUGCCCAGUCAGUUGUCAUGGUAACAUGUACGCGUCCGAAAAUGGCGUUCUUGAACAGCCCCAAAGGUGGACUGUGUCGCAGUGGGAAGAUGUAAGACAAACCUUCACAAAUGGGGAUAUUCCACCAGCUCAACCAUGUGUGACUGCAAAACAGAGCCGCAGACCAUGGACCACCUCAUAAGAUGCCCACUGCUGACAGCGACCUGCACCAGAGAAGACCUGACCAUGUACACUCUACCGGCCCAGCUUUGUGUAAAGAAGUGGGCAAGCACAGUCUGACGUAGGACACAAAAUAAGAAGAAGCAAGAAACUUGCUUUUACCCUUCCAAAAAUGUCAAGUGGUGUAACCAUUAAUGUAUUUAAAAUAAUAUUUUUUUCUAUGUAUUUUCCACAAAUUAAAAAUGUAAAUAUCAA